GUGAAAUUUUAAUAGACUUAGUGGCGGACGGGUGAGUAACGCGUGGAUAACCUGCCUUAUACAGGGGGAUAACGGAGAGAAAUCUCCGCUAAGACCGCAUAAGACCACAGCACCGCAUGGUGCAGGGGUAAAAUAUUUAUAGGUAUAAGAUGGAUCCGCGUCCGAUUAGCUAGUUGGUGAGGUAGAAGCUCACCAAGGCGACGAUCGGUAGCCGGCCUGAGAGGGUGAACGGCCACAUUGGGACUGAGACACGGCCCAAACUCCUACGGGAGGCAGCAG
rnacentral:rRNA from 1 species